UACGUAGGGUGCGAGCGUUAAUCGGAAUUACUGGGCGUAAAGCGUGCGCAGGCGGUUCGUUGUGUCGGUGGUGAAAGCCCCGGGCUUAACCUGGGAAUGGCCAUGGAAAUUGGCGAACUGGAGUGUGGCAGAGGGGGGUGGAAUUCCGCGUGUAGCAGUGAAAUGCGUAGAGAUGCGGAGGAACACCGAUGGCGAAGGCAGCCCCCUGGGCUAGCACUGACGCUCAGGCACGAAAGCGUGGGGAGCAAACAGG
rnacentral:rRNA from 1 species